rnacentral:rRNA from 1 species
CCUACGGGAGGCAGCAGGGAGGAAUAGUGGUCAAUGGCCGCAGGGCUGAACCAGCAAAGUCGCGGGAGGGAUGACGGUCCUAUGGAUUGUAAACCUCGUUUGUCAGGGAGCAAAGGGCGCCACGUGUGGCGUUUUGCGUGUACCUUAAGAAUAAGCAUCGGCUAACUCCGUGCCAGCAGCCGCGGUAAUACGGAGGAUGCGAGCGUUAUCCGGAUUUAUUGGGUUUAAAGGGUGCGCAGGCGGAAUGUCAAGUCAGCGGUAAAAUUUCGGGGCUCAACCCCGUCGUGCCGUUGAAACUGGCGGUCUUGAGUGGGCGAGAGGUAUGCGGAAUGCGUGGUGUAGCGGUGAAAUGCAUAGAUAUCACGCAGAACUCCGAUUGCGAAGGCAGCAUACCGGCGCUCAACUGACGCUCAUGCACGAAAGCGUGGGUAUCGAACAGGAUUAGAUACCCCGGUAGUC